rnacentral:snRNA from 1 species
GAGUGGGUGUUCUGGCUGCAACAUCUGUCACCCCAUCGAUGACAGCUGAUCUGGGUGCUAGGCAGGUGUCCCCUUCCUCCCUCACAGCUCCAUGUGCACUCCUCUCAAAGCUGUGUCAUUGGUCCAAAAGGACGGCUAUCCCCUAUAGAGGAGGAUCCUCACAAGGGAGAGUAGCUACACUCCCCUGCUGGAACCUCCAAACAAACUCUCAAUGGCCACCCAGGGAUUUUAGAAGUAAGCACCAACUUCUUUUAGGACUACUCCAUAUUUUCCUUUUUUCCUAU